GCCGCCGCCGCCGCCGCCGCCGCGGGGCUGUCAAGGCGCGGUUCGCCGGCCCCCUCCGUAAAAGGGAGUCUCGGGCCUCGCGUCCGCCGACACAAAUCCGCCUGCGCCGUGGUGCUUAAAGGGGAGGCGCGGACGUGGGAGGGGCGGGGGUGCGCCGAGCGUGGGGACCCCCCGUGGAGCGAGCGCCCCUCCGCUCCGCCGUUCCGGGCUCGCAGCUCCCCCCAUGCUGGCGGAGCGUGGCGGUCCGUCCGCGCUCCUCCCUGGACCUAGGUGAGCCGGUUGCACCGACAUCUGGAGGACGCUUGCAGCGGCUGCUUCCUAGGGAACCGGCUCAGAGUCCUCCUGUUAGGGGAAGGAGGUGCCCGCGGCCCCGGAGAUGUCGCCACCAGUAUCUGAGGGAGGACGGUGCUCCUUCCCGCUCAGUUCUGCGUAGCCUUCCAGCCACUUCGCCGCUUUUCGUACCUUCAACUUUUUUUUUCUUUUCUUUUCCUUUUUUUUUUCCUUAACAACUUUGACCUUUUUCUCUUUUUAAGUUUGCAUUGUUUGCAAGAUAGCUUCAGAGUUUUCUUGCCUCUGCCACAGAAUCCUGAUUCAAAGAACUGAAUGUCCAAUAGCAAGGCAGGAGAAAGGACACGUGGGGCUGCCAGGCAGAGAGAAUAAAGAAGAGGAGAAACCUGGAGAAAAGAUGGAGCAAGCAAAGGAGGCAUUGAGGAGGACUCCAGGGGCCAGACACCCAACUACACAGCAAGCCACAGAGAAAGAAGUAAAGAAAGUUCAUAGUGAGUGUCACAAAUGUCAGAGCUCAAUAUCACAUGAAACAAGAAAGUUACUGAAAAGAUCACCGUAUUAUGGUGGCUGCCAUCUUCAGAGGACUGUGAACUUGCCCUAAGGCCUCCAGCAAGAGUCUCCAUGGUUUUUGUUUGUUUUGUUUUGUUUUUCUUUGUCAACUUUCAUCAUGGGACUAUUGGAAUGGCAUUUCACCGUGCAGCCUCACUGUUCUUGUGUGUAGCAGGAUAAGCCAUGCUCUCCGCAGAAGAGGAAACUUAGAGAGACAGACAUCAAGAGGUAACUACCCUAGAAGCAGUGUUAGAGCUCCAUUCCGUUGGGUAAUUCGUGGUGUGUUCUUCCUCCUGGUGACCAGCUGAGGGCACUUCCCAAUCCUCUUGUAGAAAGGAUUAACCACCCAAUGCCAAGAAACGCCAGAGCAAAUACCUUACAGCACCCAGAUGUUUCCUUAUUUGAUUACUCCUAGGAAAAUCAACGAGGACCAACCAGUGCUCAAAAUGUGAUAAGGGUUCCAGGUAUCUUUUUUUUAAACUACAUUUUAUUAAUUUACUGGGCGACACAUGUAUGAAGGUCAGAAGACAACCGUCGGGGGUCAGUUCUUUCCUUCUUCCAUCGUGUGGGUCCCAGGGGUUAAACUUACCUCGUCAGACUUGGCUGCAAGUGCCUUUACCUACAGAGCUGUCUCACCAGCCUUACGUCUAAAUACCUAUGGGAUAGCUCAUGUUUUCCUGAGCGUUUUUCUUUUCCUUUUUUUCUGGUGCGAUGUUUAAAUUCGAUGAGCCGCUGGAGACUGCCCAGAUUGCUAUUUUCUGGCUGUGUGAUCUUGGGCAGAUGAUUUCAAAACCUCCAUGUCUUUACUACAUGACCCUUAGGGGUUGAUUCACUUGUAUGAGAAUUAAAUGAGGUUAUAAGUUA